UCCAAAGCGCUAUUGUGUCAGACUCAUCUCCCGCUGAAGAGGAUCCAGCGACAUCAAGAGAUUACGGAAAAUCACGCGAGAUAACUGGCUUGCACCUUGUUGGGUUUUUUCAAAGGCAGAGGGGAGAUUCCUGGCGUGCAUCUGCUUAAUUUGAAGAAGAACAUCACCUGAUCACCUAUCUGUAAUCCACCUGCUUAAGUUCUGGUCAAGGGGCUCAUCGGCUAUCAAGUUAUAGAUUUCAGUGGCUAAUAGUAAGUUUUGCCAGAUCUAAAGUGACUGAAUGUAGUGUUAGAGAGCUUAUAAAGCUAGGGUUCAGCUAAACAUUUAUUUGGCCAGUCUGUUUUAUUUGUCUUUAUUUGCGUGGGGAUGUGGAAAUGUAAGGAGUGUAGUCUCUCUCUGUCUCGUAGAUAUGACCUGUUAAAACAUUUUACACUUAAACACCGGCAUAUGCGAUGUUACCCAUGCCCACACAUAGACUGUCCAUGUACUUGUAAGACAUGGAAUGCUUUGCAUAUUCAUUUAAGUAGAAGGAUAUAGACUGUGUUGACCAUUCUGUACUUUUCACAUAUUUCUUUGGUGAUAUAUUCAUGUCUUUAUUUAAACCUCUAACAGCUUCAGUUAGAUGUUUAAAUAAAAUGUUAAACUCCAUUUUAGUCAUGGCAUAAUGAAGGGAUACUAACAAUUUUAAAUAUCUUUCAAACAGACUGCAAGUCACUGAUCACUUUUGUUGUGACUUCCUUUGAAUGCAGCUAUGUUUUCAAGUGUGUGAACCUAUACUGCUGGAGUUUUGAGAUUGUUCUCAUUGUUUUUUAAUCUGCAUAUUUAGGAAGACACUGCUGAGGUCAGAUGAGAGUGCAUCCUCAAAGGUCUGUGUGUACCUAAAUGAAGAUCCAGAGAAGCUGGUGAGGGAGUACAUGGACGUUGAUGAAUGUGCAGAAAUGGCCAAAGCCGAGGCUGUCCUCGGAAUCGUCAUUUGAGCAGAGGGUGCAGAGGCUGCCGAUGCACAUCUGGAUGUUGGGAUUGUCCUGGAGGAGGUGGAAGUUAUGAACAGCUUGGGCAGUGUAUCUUCUGCAAUAGUGAUGCUGCUGGGACUAAUCUACGCACUAAACUUGAGCUACCCUCAAGUUUAGUGCGUUCAGCACUCAACUUGCUCAGUAACUCAAGCAUACCUUUGAAGUAAUACAGGAAAUAAUGAAAUUGGAUGGAAAGAACUUAUCAAAGAAAGCACAAGUUCUCAAUAUGAAACUUGCCGCUAAGUUGAGUAAAGUUUCAUAUGGAAAAUGAGUGUUUAAAGUCUGCAGUAAAAAAGAUUUAUAUUGUUACAGUUCUCUAAGUUGAGCAACUAUAAUGACAUGUUUAUGUUGUAAAGAAUUGGCUGGGAAAUGAAACUGUAACCUUUUUGUAGUUGUUUUUUUUAUUUCAAUGUCCAACUCAGCUGUUUUGUGCUGUGUAAAAAAACGAUGUAUAACAAUUUUGAAAAUACAAUUGUGUUGUACCUUU